rnacentral:rRNA from 1 species
UACGUAGGGUGCAAGCGUUGUCCGGAAUUAUUGGGCGUAAAGAGCGUGUAGGCGGUUCGGUAAGUCUGUCGUGAAAUCCUGAGGCUCAACCUCGGGCGUGCGAUGGAUACUGCCGGGCUAGAGGGUGGUAGAGGCGAGUGGAAUUCCCGGUGUAGCGGUGAAAUGCGCAGAUAUCAGGAGGAACACCGGUGGCGAAGGCGGUUCUCUGGGCCUUACCUGACGCUGAGGAGCGAAAGCGUGGGGGAGCGAACAGG